rnacentral:tRNA from 1 species
GCCUGCAUGGCUCAGUCAGUUAGAGCAUCUGCCUUCGGCUCAGGUCAUGAUCCCAGGGUCCUGGGAUCAAGUCCCGCUUCAGGCU